ACGGAACGUUUUUCACCCCACUCAACUUUUUUUUUUUCUCAGAAUAGCAGUCAGUUAUUAAUUCGUAAUAGUUGUAAACCAUCUUGUUAACGCUGCACCCACUGUGAGCUUCGGCUUGUUCUCCUGAAGGGAUGCUGUAUUAUCUGCAGUGGGGAACUUCCUCUGGCAUUGUCGGCUGUGACGGUACCACCGCGUAGGGAAAGUGAAACGUAUUUUGCUGUGAGUCAGGUCACAGGUCACUAGCUUCAGGAUCAUCUUUGAGUUGUGUGUUCUUUUACAGAUGAAGAACCUGAGUUUCAUAGAGGUCCUUCUUUGUCCCCAGGUUGCAGAAGUCAAGUGGAUGAGCUAGAGCGUUUAAAUUUGGGGCUGCUGACCACACCUCUGUGAAGUCGCCUGCUUUAAAUAAUAAUAGAGCAAACACCAACCGCUGCUAUUUCUAGACACAGCCUCUGCGCUCGUAAGCACUGAGCUACAGUCUUGGUCACUCUUCCUUCUCCGAGGCCCCUCUCCACCGAGCUUUGUCAUGCGGGGGCACAGGUUUGAUCCCUGGACUCAGAUCCCACAUGCCUCAUCGUAGCAUGACCAAAAAAUAAAAAAAGCAGUGAUGCCAAGGUAUGCCAAAAUGUUUCAUUGUAAUAAUGAGGCAUCCACAGACCCAUGCGCUAACCAUUGGGAUAUAAACCCAGUUCAACUUGUUAAGGGAUGUAUUUCCAUUAAGAUUUUAUCUUUUAUGUUGAAUCAUCGUCAAAGUUUAUGAUAUGCUUCUGAUGCUCCGACUAACUCUGCACUGUUAAUAAUCAGGAUUUCCUGCUUCUCAAUCCAGAAGUUUUUUUGUGUGUGCUUGAAUUAUGGUCACAGGAACUUUAAAAUUUUUAAUUAUGUACCUAGCUUGUGGAUGAGUUACAUGGAAAAGUAGUCAAUAAAAGGCUCUGAAGAAUAAAGGUAAAUUUGGCUUAGAAUCAGUGGGCAACGUAGAAGCUUCUCUAUGAAUGUCUAUAGCAGCAUCAUUCAAGACGGCCCGUAGCAGAAGCAAGCCUGCAGUCCACCAGCCGAGGAGUGACUGAACGAAGUGUGGUCUGUCCGUCCAGCGGAACGGCUUCGGACAACAGAUAGGAGAGAGCCUGGAUCAUCGAAAAGUGAUGCUACCUGCAGGAAGCCCCUCACAAAAGACCACAUGCUGCGUGACGGCGUGUGUUUGAAAUGUCCCGAGAAAGUGAACCUAUAGAGAGAGAUUUGCUGUUCAUUUAAUAUACUGACAACCACCGCAACGGAUGUCCUUUGCGGGUCCAUAAGCCCCAGGAGUUGGUGAUGGACAGGGAGGCCUAGCGUGCUGCGAUUCAUGGGGUCGCAAAGAGUCGGACACAACUGAACGAUUGAACUGAACUGAACUGAAGCCCCAGCUCUGGAGAGAGGCCGCCUGGACUUGAAUUCUGACCUGACCCUCGGUGACUGACGUGCCUGGGCCACUUACAGGCCUCCAAGUCCUCCCUGCAGGACGAACCCAGCUUACGAGGUUCAGGCCUCCAAGUCCUCCCUGCAGGACGAACCCAGCUUACGAGGUUAAGUGUCCUGAAGCGUGUCGCUCUCGGUCCAGGUGAGUUUCUACGAAGGACAAGUGUGCUUCUCCCGUGCGCCCGGCAGCGCAGCUAUCUUACCUGACUCCGUACAACGGGCUCACAUUCCUUUCCUUUCGUCCUUGAGGAAGCGAGGGUCAGAGAGGACGAGUCUGCCUUGUUGGUGCCGGAGGGGCGGGAGGGUUUGCACUCGCAGGCGCCUGGCUGGUCCCAGGGCAGCCGGCUGCCUGGGCUAUUGCAUCGUCGUGUCUCGGGAGCCCAGGACGCUGCUGGGCACACAGGCCGAGGGCAUGAACGCCUGUGUCUGCCUCACCCUGCAGGCGUGCUGAGUAGCCUCAGUCAUGUCCAACUCUUUGUGGCCUCGUGGACAGUAGCCCACCAGGCUCCUCUGUCCAUGGGAUUCUCCGGGCGAGAAUACUGGAGCGAGUGGCCAUUCCCUCCUCCAGGGGUUCUUCCCGACCCAGGGAUCGAACUUGUGUCUCCUGUCUGUACUGCAGGUGGAUUCUUCACCACCAGGGCCACCUGGGAAGCCCCCUGCUGCUUCUUUUGUUCCGCUUUCUGGGUGCUGCAGGGUCUGGCUCCCGCGGUGCCACACCCUCUCACCAGUACCUGGUCUCUUAUCUCAGCCUUUGUUUGUGCCUGGCCUAAUGGCCAGGAUGGCCUUGUGUCCACGGAUGCAGCCACAGAGCUGCAGCCUGAGAGAGCCCAGGCAGCACUGUCCAGAAAGAUUGUUCUGAACAUGCAAGGAUGGGGUGUCCUGACUUCCUUUGAUGUUAAAGAUUCAGGUACCAAAGGCACCCUUGACUGGCUGAUUCAUGUGAUGUUUUUUUCUUAAAUUGAAAUAUACUUGAUUUCAAUAUGAAGUGAAUUUCUGCUAUACACAAAGUGACUCAGGCUCACACAUGUAGCAUUCUUUUCUGUGUUCCUUCCGUCACGGUUUAUCCCAGGCACUGAAUGUAGGUCCCCGCGCUGAUGGGCAGGAGGACCUCGCUGCCCAUCCCUUCUGUGUGGAAUUCGCACUCUGCGUCUGCCGGCCCCACACUCCCGUUUCCCUCUCCCUUGGCAACCACAAGGCUGCUCCCUGUGUCUGUGAAUCUCUUUCUGCUCUGAUCCUGCUUACCUAGGAUCGCAUGCAUGAAACUUCUCAUGUUGGCAGCUCACCCAGAAGUGGACGUGUGGCCGCUUCCAGAUCUGCUGCUACUCUUGGUGCUGGAGGCUGGGGGCUCAGAAGACAGUCCUGGGUGUGGGCUGGAGCCCCUGAGCCUCCGCUUCCUCACGCGCUUCCCAUGGUCAGUAGAGACGGCCCGUCUAAAGGGCAUUAUAGCCGCAGAGGACCAUGGAAAUCAAAGGGGCCAUCUGGAGAGUUUUUUAGCGAGAAACAGGGAUGGGAAAAGAGCCCAAGUUGUCAGUUUCAACACAGAGUUUCAAAAGAAUGCGCCCGAGAUUCUGCUUUUGUUAUCUCUGAGUGAGGAGAACAGGGUCAUUUUAUCUCCUCUGUUUUGCCUAUCUGCAUUUCCUAGCUGUGCUGCUAUGCACUUCUUUUUUUUAAACUUAGUUGAGUCAUUUUUUUAAAAGAAACAUCUUUAAAGAUAUCCAAGAAGAGGGUUGUACUUACACUCUGAUAUUUAGUUGAUACUCGAGGAUCAUUGCUAUAAAUAUCCAGUAUUGUACAAUAGAUGUAGCUAAGUGACCACCUAACUAAUAUAAAAUAACAGGGUGGAUAAAUAAAUAAAAUUAUAUAAAAAAAUAGAAUGGUCUCCAUUGAAUUUUUUUUUUUUUAAGUAGCUGUGGUUUUCCUGCCACGUCUGAUGGGUGGUCUGGUUCCUUCUCCAGCCUGGCUUCUAGUGUGUGGCUCAGACUGAAGGACCUCUGGGCUCUGCCCAUCCAGACCCCCAAGUCUGAAUGUAGAUAAUCACAGGGACACAAUUUUGCAAGUUCUCGGUUGUUGUUGUUGUUCAGUUGCUCAGUUGUGUCCGACUUUUUGCAAUCCCAUGGACUGCCGCACGCCAGGCCUCCCUGUCCUUCAUCACUUCCCCGAGCUUGUUCAAGUUCAUGUCCGUUGAGUCAGCGAUGACAUCUAACCAUCUGUCGUCCCCUCCUCCUGCCCUCAGUCUUUCCCAGCAUCAGUAAGUUCAGAGUAAGCAUGGCUAAAUUUGACACUCGGACUACAACAGGGUCUAAAGAAGUCCCAUGUCAUCCAUGCCCUUUCGGUCCUAACAUUUCUGGGGAUUCUUCAUAUUCUCCUGAACUUGACCUUCUCAGUUUAUUUUCUUCAAAAACUAUCACUUUAAAAUUGUCGAGGAAUUGUGCGUGUUCAUUAUUAUUUAUGCUUCUUUAAGCUGCUGAGUGUUCAAAGUUGCCAUGUUCCAAUAUGACAUCGCUCCUGCCUUUGAUGGUCCAGCUACUGUUUAAAUUCUCUGGGUCUGGGUCAGCUAGCAGUUAAGGUUGAGAGGGACAAGCCCCACCUGAGGUCCCCUGGGGUCCCAAGCUCGGCCGACAUUCCUUCUGCUCACCUCGCACUGGCCACCAACGUCUUUAUUGAACUCAGUGUUCUUGAAAUGUGUUUGCCCAUACGUGCCUCUUAAAAAAAAUUGUGUUCUCUCUUGCAUAAUGUCUAGUGGACAUCAAACAUUUUCAUUAUAAAUUUAAAUAUUGCAUGUUGAAAAAAAUCUAUAAGAAAUGUUAUAUUACUUGUUUAAGGAUUCUCAGGACUUCCCUGGUGGUUCAGUGAUAUGACGACUUCGCCCUCCAGUGCAGGGGUGUGAGUUGGAUCCCUGGUCGGGGAGCUAGGAUCCGGCUUGCCUUGGGACCAAGCGACCAAAACAUAGAACGAGAAAUGGUCAUCUAAAAAAAGAUCCUCAACCAGAGAGAGUUUCGCCCCCCAGGAGGCAUCUGGGCAACUUCUGGAGGCAUCUGUGGUGUCACACAAGUUUGAAAGAGCAUGUGUGUGUAUGUGUGUGUGUGUGUGUGUGUACACCAGGCAAGCUGCUCAGCAUGCUACAAAGCAACAUGUAAGAAAAAGUUAUCAGGGCAGAAUCCCGACAGUGCUGAGGUUUGAGAAGCUGAUUUGAAUGCACCCCAAGAAAUAUGAAUAUCAUGGUGAGUUUAUGCUCAGUAGCAUCCAUUCAAAAAACACAUCACAAUUGUCUAUAACAUUGUUUCUUUUUGUCCCUGAAACUGUAUUUCCAUUCUUAAUCCCCACAGAUUUUUAUCCUGAUGAAAGAUCUUUACUUUCCAAAGCCUUACUAGGGGUCAUGUAAUUCUCUGCUACAAAACUCUGCACAUAAACUGAAUUUGUUUUUAACUCCUACACUAUAAGGUUCUAAAGGUUAACAUUUUCCUUCUGUAUUGGGGUAGUAUUAGAAAGCGAUCAAAUGACAUAAAUAUAUUACAACAUUCGAUAGAUGAGUUUUAAACACAGAAACCUCUUGGGUGAAGUGCGUCUCUUCACGGGGUGAAUCAGGGAGGAUCUUCAGGGACCUGCUCGACAGUCUUCGUUGAUACAGAGAUUCUCACCUUGGGGGCCAGGUAAGACUCUGGGGGUGGAGGGGGUGCCUCUUGAAGUAAGGCUGGAGAACCACAGUGGAGAAUAGGGUAAAAAAACAGAAUGGGCAUGAUGUUUACUCAGUUAGACCAAUUUUGGGAAGAAAACACACAGACACUGAAGAUUUUGAAAUGGCUUUUCACACGCACGCACCUCCUGGAGAGUCUUCAUGUUGUUUAUAUACUGGUUGGAUUUAAGGAGCUGAGUAACCUAACAACUCUCUUCUUUCAAUGACUCAGACAGUUUUUUCACAAUGCUAAAGCAUGCUACAGGGCAGUAAGCCGACGUGUAUUAUACUUUAUAAAUCCAGCAAGUGGAAUGUCUCACCGGGGGCAUCAGUAUUGCGGAAGUGGUCUAGCAUGUAGUGGAUUGUAACUAGUUCUCGAACCAGACACAAUGUUUAUUCGCUUCUCCAUCAUCCAGCUGUGCGACUGGGUCAAAUUAUUACCAGUUCUGGUCCAUAGCGUUCUCACCUGUAAAGUGGAACUAAAAAUAGGUUUCUCAUCGGGUUGUGAGACUUAAAUGAGGUCAUGCAUGCAAAGUGCUCAGUGCAUGCCCCAUAUAUGCUAAGUACUGGGUGAAUGUUAAUUGUUGUCACCUUUAGACAUUACAGAGUUUGGCUUCAGGAGAGAGCUCUGUAAGGGCGAUGGGGUCAUCAUUUCAGCCUGAUUUCUUCAUCGUGACUGUUCCGUGCCCAAGGUGUUGUACCGCCCGCCCUGGUUUUACGAUCGGCUGUAGACCUUUGAGAUUUCAAUUGACCUUGGGGCUCUGGAGCUGCUGGCGGGGGUCUGCCCACACUAGCCGGGCGCCCUCAUCUUCUGCUCAGCCUCUCAAGGACACCCGUAAACACUCUAAGACCGCCUACCGCAGGGUGGUCCUCUGGAUGCCUGAAGGCUUUUGGUGUUCUCAGAACACCGUCUAGGAGCUGAGUCAGGUGGCUGACCCACAUUCAGUCUCCUCUGGGGCGACUUACACAAAACCCACGUCAAGGCAGGGCUCCGAGGAACAGCACAGGCACCUUAAUCCUUGUAUCGACAACUGUUCUGUUGGGUUACACAGUUUUCAUCUCGGAGGAAUUGUCUCUUGACAUUAAACUGUCCAAACAGUAUUUAUACCUGCGACUGCCCCGCAAGAUCACUUAACCCCACACAGCCGUUUAAAAGUAGUUAAUGACAGAAGCGGCCUGACUAAACCCUGGUGAGUGAUGGGCCACGUUCGACCCGGGCUGUCAUGGUUUAUGGCGGAAGGCGGUUUGUCCAUCGCCUGCUUCAACCACAGCAGGUAAUUUGAAAUGAAAUGAGACAGUUUCUACAAGCAGAUUGAUUUGGGAAUCUUGCCUGCUCUUCCCUUUGACCCUUGACAAGUUGACACUACAAAGAUUGUGACUUUAAAAAAUGAUUGGGUGCAAAUACGUUUAGGUAGAUGAUUUACUGGGUGCCGAAGUAAGGACGGUGUCUUUGGAGUAAUGCUGGCAGAGAAGGUAACUGUCCACUCUAACAACUCAGGCUUCAUGUUUCUGAAUCCAAUUAAUUACCCCACCAGGCCAAUCUAUUAAUGAUCCUUGAUCAAGGUGUCUAUAUUCUUGGUAAGAGGCCAUGGACCCAGCUGCCUGGUCAGAGACCGGUAGCCAACAUCAAGAGCAAGAGACUCUGUCUCUUAUUUAUGUUAUAAAUACUCUUACUUAUGAUAAACUUAUUAAAAGGUACUGAUUCAGUUUGUCAUUUUGGUAGAAAACCCACAGCUUGAAAUUGAGUUCUCUUUCAUGGGUCCCCUUUUUCCUUUUUUGUAAAUGUGGUUAAUAAAAUACAUGGGGAGGCACUGUGAUUAAAAGGAUGAUUCAAUUUUUUGAUCUUCAAAGAGUUACCAGAGAUACCAGGGAAAAAAAAUCCUGCAGUAUCAAAAAUUUUUUUCUAAUUCUUGGUAAUCACACUUAGAUUUUCCUACCAGGCAUUAUACACUACUUUAUGUGUAUGUAAAAUAUUAUGUAAUAUUUUAAUAUGUAACAAUUAAGCAAAUAUUUUUCACAUUAUUUUGACGCUACUCUUCUGAUGCAGUUGUUUCUCCUAGAAGCGAAGUUUUGUCACGAGUAAAUGUUAUCCUACACUGAAUUUAAAAAUUAACCAUUUUCCAAAGCUAGAAUAAAAAUGACAGUAAGAUGAUUUUUUAAAAGCAGUUAUCUCAGCUCAUGAUUAUGUAAUAUUUAUGUCUGGAUUUCUUAAAAUGAACUCGGCAGUGGAACUGUCGAUUCAUUAAUGUUGGGAUUUGCCUUGAAGUAGCCACGUUCUGGAACAUUUGCCAUUGAACCCGGGCUGUUAACUGCAGCUUUUGUGUUUCUCUCUAUUCUAACCACUUUGUUUGAAAUAUAAUUUUGAAGAUGCUAGUAAAAAAUAUAACAAAUUUCUUAUUGGUCUCCGUUUAAAUUAUUUACUACCCUUUGGAGCCAUAUCUUCAUUGAACUAUGCUUAAAGUAUUUUGCAGGAAUGUUUCUUUAUGUUGUCCAUCGGGUUUAAUAGACGUGCCAUUUAAUAAGCUCUCUACCUGUAAGGAUAGACUAUUUGACCUCUGUGCCCUGCCACUGGUAGACAUAGUAUAAGAUUGCUUUGUGAAAUAAAGCUGUCGGUAACAUCAACAAAAUAAAAAAUGAUCGUAUUCCAAUACUCUCUGCUGAGUACUAUGACAGCGCUGAAAUAUGGAAUAAAAUUGAAAGUAGAUUAGUUUUGGGUCUUAAGUCAUGUUUUGACAAGAAAUAAGAGAGGAGAACAUAUCUUUGAACUUUUAGUUUUAAAGUUUUUUAAUGAAAAUAUUUAUCAUUUUGUAAGGUUCCUUCUUUCUUUAUCACACCGCGGCUGUAUAACCUGAAAACAAUCCGUUCUUUUAUUGUGAGGGAUAUAAAUACUGUUCUGUCUUUACAUUAAAUACCAGAAAGGGAGCUCACACGGGGAGAGAUGGUCUGACACUUGUAAGUGAAGGAGUGUCACGCUAAUAAAAAGGCUUAUUGAAGAGGCUGGAAAAUCAGUCAUUAAUAAGCUACAUAUUUUUAGGGUAUGUAAUGCAUGUAAAUACUGUAGACAAGCGGGCCGGGUUUGCUGUAAUUUUUGUUUGCCUUCAGGAACGGUUUGAAUCUGAAGAGGAAGAAUAAAUAUGUCUGGGUGGGGAGAAAGCCUGGCUGGUGAUUGCUUUCGACCUGGAGGAAUCUGAAAAUCGGGGCGACUUGCAGAUUGUGAAAUGGUUCCUUUCACCCCCGUGGUUAUACAUUAAUGAGGUGAAAUCGCUGCUGGUCCGUGGCGGGCUCGGUCAGCAGGUGGCGUGGGCUGAGGACACUGACCCUCCCCUCCAGGGGUCUGCAAACAGCUGGUAUCACCACAUGUGAGCCGGCGGUGCCCACUCGCCCUUCGCUCCACACGCCGGCGGUUACAGCGGAGGGGGCAGCGUAAGCCGCGCCCCCGCCUCCGCGGGAUGAACCAGGAUGUGGAGUCUCGGCACACGUGUGCCUUCUCUUCUGCUCAGAGGCCCUCCUUCAGGGCGAGGCUUGUGUCUGCAAGCCAUCUAACCAGGGCUUCUUUGGAAAAAAAAAAAUCCAAGGUGACUCUUCCCCCUAAUGAACGUAAGUUAUCCACACAUAGUAGCAUCAGGCUAAUAAUGGUAGCCAGACUCUCCUGGGACUCUGCUGUUAGUUAUGAAAAAAGCAAUCCUGUUGUCCUAAUCGUCAAUAUAUUCUAUAGUCCGGAGUUUUGAAAGUAAGUUUAAAAAGUAAAAGACUAUUUUGGCUAGCACUUCCCUGGUGGUAUAGUGGAUAGGAGUCCGCCUGCCAAUGUAGGGGACACAGUUUCAUCCCUGGUCUGGGAGGAUCCCACGUGUUGCGGGGCAGCUAAAGCUGUGCACACAGCGACUGAUCCCGCGCCCUAGAGUCUGCAACCAGAGAGGCUGUUGCAAUGGGACCCUGCGCCCUGCAACGAGAGAGUAGCCCCCCUCGCUGCAACUAGAGAAAGCCUACAGGCAGCGGAAGACCCAGUGCUGCCGCAGAUACAUAAAUUACUUUAAAAAUUAUUUUAAAAAGAUGAUAUUGGCCAACAGUUCUGAAAAAAGUUUUCAAGCGAGCUCUGACAAUCUCUCCUGAGGUAUUUUGAGGCUGUUACAAAGAAAAGUAUUUUUUAAUUUGAGAUGAGUAUGAGACACAGCUAUGUGGCUGAGUUGAGGUGUGUGCCAAGUCUUGCGGACCCCUUUAAUUCAUUCGACGACAUGGCACUAACCUUGGCUUUGCUAAAUAAUACCUUUAAACAGGACGGUGAAUUACUGUGGUCAUUACGUUGGUGUCGUUUGUCAUCACGUUGAGUCCUGAGUGCAGAGGGUUUUCAGUAAUAACUGUAUGGUCACUGAUGACGGAGAUGAAGUUUACAUGCGUGUUUUAUUCAUGGUUUUCUGUCAAAUGUCAAAAUCCGAGAGGAGCCCUGAGCACCCCGGGAAGGGUCGGCGAGUGCGCUCAGGUUCCCGGAGGGCUCAGGUCCCAGCUGGUCACACCGUGUCCUUGGCGGGCGGAGGUCACCAAGAAGAGAACUCGGCUGGGACACGCAAACCCAGGGGAGGUCGGCCUCAGCCUUCCAGAAGACAGGAGAGAAGGAAAGCGCGGCGCGCGCGCGUGCCGUCCACCGGGGAGCGUACUGAUCCUUCCGCUGGCCGCUGUGGCGCCUUCAGCGUCAGACCAGAGUCUCCUGGGCCCGAGUCUCUCAUCUGUGGAGCCGGGCUGAGGCUGCGGCGCCUGUCUCCUGCGUGAGCGGGUGAGGUAAGUGCCCUCCGAGAGCCCAGCUUGGGGCUGGCCCCUGGCCACUGCCCUGGGAACACACGGCCUCCCCGCUCUCUUGCGGGCUCUGAAAUCAGGAUGUCAACCUCUUCUUCCCUUUAGGUUUCAUGAGCCUGAUGAGGCCUACCCCCCUCUUGUGAAGAAACAUGUUCUAGAAGUUGGUUUUUUUUCACCUUCUGCAAACCAAAAUUUCUUAUUCCAAUUCGGGUUAACUCUGGUUGCUGGUUUAAGAAGUCCAGACUAGACCCUUGAUGUCACUGAGUUUUAGAGAUGAUCUUUUCGGUGGUAAUCAAGCUGGAGUUAGCACUGUUUUAAAUAUUAUGGGCUGAAACAGAUAACCAACAAGGACCUACUGUAUAGCACAGGGAACUUUGCUUAAUGCUCUGUAACAGCAUAAAUGGGAAACUAAUUUGAAAAACAAUAGACACGUGUAUACAGAUAACUGGGCUUCCCCAGUGGCUCAGAUAGUAAAGAAUCUGCUUGCAGUGCAGGAGACCCUGGUUCAAUCCCUGGGUCAGGAAGAUCCCCUGGCGAAGGGAAUGGCAAGCAACCAACUCCAGUAUCCUUGCCUGGAGAAUCCCAUGAACAGAAGAGCCUGGCAGGCUAUAGUCCAUAGAGUGGCAAAGAGUUGGACACGACUGAGCGACUAACACUUUCAAACAUAUAACUGAAGUACGGCGCUGUAUAGCUGAAACUAACAGGAUACUGUAAAUCAACUACACUUCAAUCACAAAGAAAGGUCCAGGGCACUGGAAGCCUGAGUCUGGGGAAGCAAGGCAGUUCUCCUAAAAAAUGGACUGCAGAGAUCAGGAGAGUGGGGGAAGCUGCUCUGAGAUGCUGUCCAGAGGGUCCCCCAGGGCAUGAGUGACAAGGGUGAGUCUCACCACCAUGAGUGGGCAGAGGGGCCGGGGGUACCUGGGGUCACGUUAGUUCCGCUGUGACCUGUGCACCCUUGCGGUGCCAUCCAGACACGGUUAACCUCUUCACCACCUAUGAGUGCAGCACCACCUCGAGAACGUCUAGUUCUAGGAAAGAAAGGCAACGUAAAAGUGGACAUGAUUUUUUAAAACGAUGAACAGGGACAACUUUACAAGAACCGAUGCCAUGUUCUGCCCUUCUCCUGUAAAAUGGAGCUUCAGGGGAGCUCCCUGGCGUCCAGUGAUACUCCAUGCUCUCACUGCGGGGGCCCAGGUUCAGUCCCUGGUUGGGGAGCUAAGAGCCCGCAAGCCGUCAGGCCCAGCCAGAAAACAGACAAACAAACAAAACACCCCAGCUUUAACUGACUGUAUUUCCUUGUGAGGAUCAUGUUAUGUUUAUGAACAAAUAAAUUUAAAAUCAACUUUUGGAACAAAAGCUGUUAUUCAAGAGAGGAUUGCUCUCGUAUGAGUAUAAUUGCUUCUAAAAUAUCUACUUGUAGACAGACUUGUAUAAACCAUCAUUAAUUCUUUGUAUAACUCAUGUAUAAAAUGCAGCGUUUCCAUUAAUGGAAAAGGAAACUCAAGCAUCACACUGAUAAUAUCAAUAAUAUGCAUUUGUAGUUACAUGCUGUAGAUAGCUGUAAAAGCUACAUUUUAUUACAUUAAUAAAACUCCUGAAGCAGCCCAGCUCGGGCGAGAGGCGACAUUAUUAAGGCUCAUGGCUUCAGCAGCUAAGAGUCUGUCAAAUCGCUCUUAGCUGUAGCAACACACAGCAUGUUGGGGAAGCUCUCUCCCACCCAUAAAAUAACGAUGAUUAUUUUUCAAGAUAAAAUACUACAUGCUGCUGGAAUGACACGCUACCUGAGAGCUAUGAGAGUAACAAAGCAAAGAUAAAACUCAAACUCAAUGAGAACAAAAAGCAGAUUGAGAGGGCUUCUUGUCCUCUGGGCAGACGGAGCCAUCAGGUUGUGUCUCCGGCAAUGUUAAAGAUCACUUCUUCCCCAAGUCUACAGCAGGCACAGGGGAACCUCGUGAAGAGAGGAUUCGUCUCGAGGAGGGGACGUGUGUAGGGUUCCAAGUGUUUCUGGGUCAGUACCUUGGGCACGCUGACAGGUAAGAAGACCAGGGCGUUGGACCGGCAGGGUGGAUCGAUAGCUCUUUAGGUGUCUGCCAAUCACCCAUUAGGGAGGAGGGCCAGGGGGAUGAGUCCCAGCAGCUUCUCAGAUGCUCUACCGACUGUGUGUCCCCCUCCCUCGGUGGGAAAUGGGAGGCAGGGCGGGGGGAGGCCUCCAGAUCAGGAAAGCACGGGGUUAUGUGCAGAACAGGGGCUUCCCAGGUGGCUCAGAGGUAGAGAACCCGCCUGACAACGCAGGAGAUGCGGGUUCCAUCCCUGGGUCAGGAAGAUCCCCUGGAGGAGAGCAUGGCAACCCGCUCCAGUAUUCUUGCCUGGGAAACCCCAUGGACAGAGGAGCCUGGUGAGCCGCAGUCCAUGGGGUUGCAGAGUGGGACACGCGGGAGCGACUGAGCAUGCGCACACACGUUCCGAGCAGCACGGAGACCGCGGAGGAGGCUGGGCCGCAGCAGCGUUCACCGGACCAGACGCCAUCGCUGUGAACCAAGCCAGCGAUCGGACCACAGGCUCCAGAGGGUCACCCGCCCGGAAGUCAGCUCCGGGAGCAUUUGCGAGAUCAACACGGCGGUGUCAAAGCAUCAUGCUUCUGUUGGAAAUGUCGCCCGGGAUGCCCAGGGAGCCUGCCUUUCCCACUGAUUAACUUUGAAGUGAAAUCCAAACAGUCUCGGCUGCAGGGAAAGGUUGAUGGAGGUUUUUUAUUUAUUUAUUUUUAAUUCUUUCAACACACAGCCAAUUUUGAACUAAAAAUCAAAAUUAUCUUUCUGAGUCUCGCAUUCCAAUGAUCCUCCCGGAUCGCCCGCUUUCUUCCACGCUGCAGAUUUUUCUGGUCAUCGCACAGAACCUGAGACUGCGCUGCUGGAUGUGUGGUGUACUCGCUCAGGCGUGGGUGCAUGGGAGGCCUUCAGGGUCAGGAUUUUUGUGUGCACGUGUUUUUUUCCAGGAAGAAGGUCCAGGGCUUUCAUAACUUUCUCUCCAGGGGGGUCUCUGAGCUCCCCUCCCCUCAUGUAAAAGCACAAAUACCACGGGCGGACAGCAUGCGACAGGACUCUGCAUGGAGGUGUCGUUUCUGGUAAGGCCGAGAGGUGGCAGGGUAAACACCAGCCUGCAGCGGCCCCAUUUUCCCGACCCGGAGAGAAGCCCCGAGAUCCUGUCUGUAGCCUCGCUUCCGCUUGCACGCACUGUGAAUACGGGGCCCAUCAAACUGCCCUGAAACAUCCCCGGAGGAGGAGAGCAAGGCUGAAGGGGGUUUAAAGGUCACAAACAUCCAAAGACAGCAUUUGGUAAAUGUUUCUCGGGGCGUUGAGCACCACGCCAGAAAUGCACAGAGCUCAAUCACUGGCAGAAUCAAGAGCACUUAUAAAACCGAUGAUCAUUUCCCAAGCUAUAAUUAACACUUGAUUUUACCACAAAGUAUCAUUGUUCAAAGAUGCUAUAAACUGCCUGAAGAAAUGACUUCUGAAAUGACUUCUGAACAAAAAGAGUUCAGUUUCUUUGCAUCAGCACCGAAAGAUCUCUUUCAGUUCUUCUACUUUGUGGGGGUUAAAAAUAACAGAAAAAGGGGAAGCUGCCUCACUUAGGUAGAUUCAGAGGAUUUUUAUUUUGAUAGUUAAGUAUCACUUUCAUUUUCUGUGAAAGUAUGAGAAGCAGGGAUCUUUGCUUGCAAAUUCUUAACCAGAUGCCCACUGGAUAACAUUUUCUACUUUAAACAUAUCUAGCCAAUUCAAAUAUAAGCAUUGAAAGUAGCAGAUGCUGGGUUUCAUAUAGCUGAGCCCAGUGAACUUUCUCAAGGCAAACUCAUUUGUUUAAUGGUAUAUGUGAUGUGAUAACCUAUAAUUCUUAGUGAUGAAAUUAAACUUGUGUUUAUAUCUUUAAAAGCAAUCAUUUGGUGGGCUGAGACGAAAUCUAUUUUUGCCUAUCAUUUCCAUUCCUUUAAGAAGUUUCCAUAAAAUUCAUAAUUAUUAGGUGACAGAAAGCAAAUAUGCACAGUCUCCAGCUAUUCUGGGAGAGGAUGAUAAAUAGGAAGGGCUUGAGGGCAUUUGACAAAUACCAUCAGACGUAAUGCAAAUUUUGUGGGUGGAAUAGAUUCUGAGAAGUAUCUGCCCGCCUGUUUUGGUUCAUUUUUCACAGUCCAGUUUAAACUGUGAGACUCCUUUGAAAUAGAAAAUAAUCUCCUGGGGGUAAAACAGGAACAAAGUGUUUACAGUGUAAGUCCAGGUUCUCUCCGAUAAUAAAUAACUUUAGAAGGGGUAUCAGCUGAUCAAUUAAUUAGCCAAGUGAUUAGUAUUUAUGGAGCAUCUAUUUUUUCCACUGUUGAGAGGAACAUGAGACAAAGUCAAAGCAUAAUUUCUUAGUUAUAUUCAUGUUACCUGUUGUGCCUUAAUGUGUGUGGGGGGAGGCGUGCAGAGAAAGGGUCCUAGCCUUGGAUGGGAAGGGUUAUCUAAACGCGAUUUGUUAAGUGUUUUAAGUCCCUAGUCAAGGCUGGGUUUUUCCAGUGGUCAUGUAUGGAUGUGAGAGUUGGACCAUAAAGAAAGCUGAGCGCCGAAGAAUUUAUGGUUUUGAACUGUGGUGUUGGAGAAGACUCUUGAGAGUCCCUUGGACUGCAAGGAGAUCCAACCAGUCCAUCCUAAAGGAGAUCAGUCCUGGGUGUUCAUUGGAAGGACUGAUGCUGAAGCUGAAACUCCAAUACUUUGGCCACCUGAUGUGAAGAGCUGACUCAUUGGAAAAGACCCUGAUGCUGGUAAAGAUCGAAGGUGGGAGGAGAAGGGGAUGACAGAGGAUGAGAUGGUUGGAUGGCAUCAUCAACUCAUGGACAUGGGUUUGGGUGGACUCUGGGAGUUGGUGAUGGACAGGGAGGCCUGGCGUGCUGCGGGUCAUGGGGUCGCAAAGAGUCGGACACGACUGAGCGACUGAACUGAACUGAAGUCCCUCUGCUGUCCACCUGAAACCAUCACAACAUUGUUAAUCAGCUAUACUCCAAUACAAAAUAAAAGUUUAAUAAAAAAAA